CUUAGAAAUACCCCCUUUUCCCUAUGUAACGUUCCACAUUCACCCCCCUCCCCCAAAACCUACCCCCUCUCUCUCCCCGGAUUUAUACACGAAUAUUUACACGCACACCACAAUGCAGUUGGGGAAAUAGAGCAGUCGAAAUCUGUGUUUUCGCUUGUAAGAAUGGCGGUGAAUUCGAGCGAAGAGCAAAGCCAAGAUUCCCUGAAUGUUGUAGAAUUACUGGCUGAAGGAACCACAGGCCCUCUGUGUGAAUCACAUUUAGACAUGGUGAACCUAUCCAAUCUGAAUUUUGUGAAGACGCCAAUCUCAAUGGAUGCCGAAUCAAAUGGCCGUAACCAUGCCAACCUGAAGAAUGGUAGCACAGAUGUUGAUGGCUCAUAUAUUUUGGAUAUAGAUACUGAGAAAGGAAAAUCUGAGGCACUUAAAUCCAUUCAGGAAAUGGGUGGGAAUGUGAAGACGGAUGAUUGUAUAGCUAGAAUGUUGCAGAGAGAAAUUGCAUCACUGAUGGGAGGAAAGUUCAUGCAACUCCUGAUGAAUCAGAGUGUUGAGUUGCCCAGAUUUGCUUGUAAAGAUAAAUGUUUGACCGAGAAAGUAUAUGAUGCAUCUAGCAACAGACUCAGAAAAUACAAGCGCUCUGCAUCUUUUAAUUCAAGAAGAGUUGUUCUCCUUUUCUCAUUCCUGUCGAGCAUGGGCACAAUCAUACUCAUUUACCUUACUCUAAGAGUUAGAAUGAGCAUUGAUGGGGCUGGUAAUGUUUAGUCUCUGCUUCUCUUGUCAUCCACUCACGCCCAUCAUUUGUGAAAAGAGUUUUGCUAGGAAUUGUCGCGGUUCAUGUCUCUCACUCGGAUGUACACAGUGCUGUAGAAGAAUCGUACAGAAACGCAAAAGCCUCAGGUGUUUGGGGUUGGAGAGCAGGGUCUGAGGUUUCAAAGGAAUAGGAACAAGCAAAAUGAAGGAGAGAUGAAGAACGAAGAGCAACAGAAUUCUCUUUUUCUUUUUUAAUGUAUUUUUUGUAUAUUUAUUUGUUGAGGAACUACUGUAAAUUGUCUAAUAUUAAAGUUAUCAUAUAGUACCUGUUUGUAAA